rnacentral:rRNA from 1 species
CCUACGGGAGGCAGCAGUGAGGAAUAUUGGACAAUGGGCGCAAGCCUGAUCCAGCCAUGCCGCGUGCAGGAUGAAGCAUCUAUGGUGUGUAAACUGCUUUUGUACAGGAAGAAACCUCCCGACGUGUCGGGAAUUGACGGUACUGUAAGAAUAAGGAUCGGCUAACUCCGUGCCAGCAGCCGCGGUAAUACGGAGGAUCCAAGCGUUAUCCGGAAUCAUUGGGUUUAAAGGGUCCGUAGGCGGGCCAGUAAGUCAGUGGUGAAAUCUCUCCGCUCAACGGGGAAAUGGCCAUUGAUACUGCUGGUCUUGAAUUAUUAGGAAGUAACUAGAAUAUGUAGUGUAGCGGUGAAAUGCUUAGAGAUUACAUGGAAUACCAAUUGCGAAGGCAGGUUACUACUAAUGGAUUGACGCUGAUGGACGAAAGCGUGGGUAGCGAACAGGAUUAGAUACCCUGGUAGUCCACGCCGUAAACGAUGGAUACUAGCUGUUGGGGGCAACUUCAGUGGCUAAGCGAAAGUGAUAAGUAUCCACCUGGGGAGUACGUUCGCAAGAAUGAAACUUAAANGAAAUUGACCGG